GGAGGCUCCGGGAGCACCGGCGGGCCCCGCGGAACUCUGCCGUGCCAGGGCCACACGGACACCUCCCGACACGGCCCCCCGGAACAGCAGCGGCCCCAGUGCGGGCUGAGCCCGGCCCUGAAGUGUGAAGAGCAUCGCGGGCAGCGCGGAGCGUGUCCCGGCUCCUCUCCGCUCCCAUGCCCCUGAUCCCGACAAGCACGGGGCGUAUCACUCUCCUCCCAAAACACUCUGAAUUCUCGUACCCCUUAACGCAAAGACAAGCACCCUGCCUGCACUCUCAGCACCAAGGUCCAGGGGACCGGCAUCGCAUCAAGACUGGACUCAGCAAGACAGCAACUGAAAAUCUCAACAUCUCAUCACAGGUGGGAGACAGCAGCUGCCAUAUAUUGCUCUUGAUGAGUUUAUUGGCACCCUCAGCCGUAACUGAACACUGCAAGUGCACAGGAGAGAACACCUUCAGUUCUUCACUUCAUGUCCCCAAAUGUGUCCCCUAGAUUUUGAAGCCUGCUCACCCCAGUCAAGCCCGUCUGGAUCUCAUGAACGUGAAGGAAUUCUCCUUAUGCUUUUCCAACUGGUCUGUGCAGUACUUCUUGGAGUGACUUCCCAGUGAUACUAACAGCUUUCCCUGGCACCCCCGAGCAGUGUAAGUGGAAGACCACAGGAGCAAGUGCCUUCCCUCUAACCAGCUCCAAAUGGAAUGGUUUUCCCAUAGGAAUGAACCUCAGAGGAAUAACCUCAGUCCCUCCAGCCAAACUGCCUGCUUUCCAGAGAAGCCAGAGGCUUGCAUGCCUUUGAAAA